ensembl:lncRNA
AUUUAACCCAGACCCUCGCUCAUAUGCAGCGCCCUCAUGCUGGUAGUCAUACAGCGCAUCGUGGGCCCAGAGUGUGUCAUCGCUGUCAGAGACCAGGCCAUUUUGCGAGAGACUGUGACGGUGUGCGCAAUUCCCGCCCCCAGUUUUCUUCACCAGAUUCCAGGCCGUCUGCUAGGCAGGCAGAACCCAGCACGGCUCCGGAAAACUAGCACCCACCAAACUGCAGAGCCACAGUUUAGGUGGGGCCCCUCAUGGCUCACGCCCUGUGUCUGGUGGGCUAGCUCAAGGCCCCAGACUGGUGUCGUCCUGUCCCUAUUUAGAGGUUCUCAUGGGAGGAGUCAAGGUGCCAUGUUUGAUUGACACCGGCUCUAUGGUUUCUACUGUUACAGAAAGCUUCUUUCAAAAACAUUUUGAACCUUGGGGUCAGGAGCGGCUCAAAGCCUGUAGCUGGUUACAGCUAAGGGCAGCUAAUGGGUUGAGCAUCCCGUACCUGGGUUAUUUGGAGCUCGAUGUUGAGUUGUGCGGUAAACUAGUUUCACUGUGUGGUAUCUUGGUGGUAAAAGACCCCCCUGGUAAUGCUUCUCUUCAGGCCCCUGGUGUGUUGGGAAUGAACGUGAUCCAGAAAUGUUAUCAAGAGCUCUUUGUGCAGCACGGUUUGUCCCUGUUUAAUCUGCCCUCUGUCACGCAGGCCCCACAACCUGUCACGCAGGCAUUACAGGAGUACCAUCAGGUGACCACGCAGACCUCCCAGGAGCUGUCUGGGAAGGCAAAGGUCAGAGGUAGGCGUGCCUGUCGUAUUGCAGGUGGUGUGAUGCAGAUAGUCGCAGCUACUUGCUCAGGGCAGGGUACCGAUAGCACAGUAUUGUUUGAGCCCCUUGACUCUGGUUUACCUGCAGGUUUGUUGGCUUCUCCAUCUGUGGUGAGGGUAGUUAGAGGUACAGCAUACAUACCCAUUGUAAACGUUGGCUCUAUAGAAGUACUGCUGUACCCACGCACUGUUCUUGGCACUUUACAAAAAGUGAGUGUUGUCAGCCUCCCUGCAGGAAUCGCAGAGGUUCCAUCCACUGUAGCCAUUGUAGCUUCUCACACCGCCUUACCUACCGUGCCAGACCAGAUUGAGGGUUUAGAUCUGUCUUCUCUUUCCCCUGAAGAGCAAGGUCAGACGAGACCCCAGUCACGCAACGCUACAGAAGGAUGGGAGCCUGCGUAUGUGUGUCGAUUACCGGCAACUAAAUGCCAAGACCAGGAAAGAUGCGUUCCCGCUGC